ensembl:lncRNA
GUGAGAACAUUUAAAUUGACCUGGAGGAAAUAGGGAAGGUCUUAUAGAGAAGAACAUAUUUCAGCUGGGUCUUGGAAUUUGCCACAGAAAGAAGAUAUGGGUAGAAAAAGGUCAAGGGUCACGUGAGUUGAGUUAAAUUGAGAAGCAUAUUGGGUUAAGAGAAAUUCCCAGGAGAAUAAGUUAAGAAAAUCUUAUAUCAGUGCCAGGAGAGGUCACAUUAAUAGGAACGAUGGACCCUAGAGUCAAAGAGAGGUGGGGUUGGGGAGGAUGCAAAGAUAAGGAUAAGACUCGUGACUUCUUAUCCUUAGUCAGAGUGUAGAGGACAGCAAGCCAGGUGGUCCUUGCAAGCUGUUUUGGCCGUCAGAGCCCAUCUCAUCUGUUCUUGAAGCGUCAGUGGUGAGAUAUUGGAUGUGACAUCUUACUGGAACAGUAGGAUGAAUUCUGAUUUCAUGUACCUUCGCCCAACUUUGAGCUCUCCGGCUGCACUUGGAGGCUCAGGCUUCCAAGAUACAGGAAAUAUAGACGAGCACAUUUUCAAAGUUCUCACAACACGGAGAGAGCCGACUCAGCAGUCAUCCAGGGUCCAACUCACUCUGAAUGGGCAAUUUUCCCAGGCCCUGAAGCGACAUCUGGAAUUGGACAUAAAAGCUCAGCCUCCUCUGACAGGAUUCCAGGAGAUAAGGCUGGAAACUCUCCCCUCUAGUCAGAGUUGGGAUCAUCCACCACCACAGUCCACCCCUGGUGCCUUCGUCUUGGAAAGACAGUGGAAAUCACCUAUGGCGUUUCCCAGAGCAGAGGAUGACUGUGAUGGCUGGUCCUGGAAGAGCAGAGAGCCAGAGGCCCAGGGGUGAGAAGGCAUAGCUUUCCUGUUCUUCUCCCUGCUCUUUGCGUGGCUGGUUCCUUCUCAUCUUUCAGCUGUCAGCUUUGAUCUCACCUUCUCCAAGAGGACACGUAGGAUCCCUCCUUCUAAAUGUCAGAGCUGGUAUUAUCUACUUCCAGUCGUUUUCCAACUCUCUUUCUUGGACCUCAAGGGACCAUAGACGACAAAAUGGGAGCCCAAAGGACAGUGCUUCAGCCAUAAUGCCACCUAAUCAUCAACCAGAACAGGUCUUAAUUUAUAUUUUUAUAUUAAAAAAUCGUUUGGAAAAAUAAUUAUGCUAUUUAGAAAAAAAAUAUUUUGGCAUUUUGCAGGAGAGCAAUCUUAGGCUCAAAGAAGAUGUAAAUCUUUGAAGAUCACGUAGUUGGUUUUAAUAUCAAAGUGAAGUUUAGAUUACAUGUCUCCUAACUUUCAAAUCAGUGCUUAUUCCAAAUAUCACAAAAGUUUAUUUUUUUAUAUUUAAAUCUUGUAUGAAAUGUUAAAAUUGGCUUUUCAUGGCAUCUGCAAGCUAUAGCACGUCAUGUUAUACUACAACUCUACAAAGACCCAUCUUUGACCAAUUGAAGUAGGCUUCUUGGAAAAGACCUGAAAUCAUACAGUAUUUUGAUGGUAAUCAAUUCAGGCCUGUCCUGUUGCUGAAUGAAUAUGUUCAGUCCUCUCAUUUUCCAAGGAAUGACUACAGAAAUCCCCCUUUCUCUUGGUCAUUGUUUUUAGCACGUUGUAUACUUGUUUGAUUUGUGAUAUCCCAAGCAAAAAGGCAGGCUGAGGCUUCUGCCUAGGCUGUUCUGAUUGGUUGGUUGCUUUGAGACAUCAUAAAGAAAGCCCUAAGGACCAAGUCAGAUCAUAGCAUGUUUGACUUAAUUCAAAAUGCCAUCGUUAUUACAUUUAGUUAUUCUUUUCAUUGAGGUAUAAUACAAAAACAAGAAAGUGCACCCAUUUAAGUGUAUAGCUCAUUGAAUGUGUUCAUAUCAAUGCAAUCAUACAACCUCAACUCAGGUCAAACUAAGAUCAUCUCCAGCACCUAGAAGGCUCCUCUGUGCUACUGCAUAGUCAACAACGGCCCUCUGCCAAGCAAAAGCCAAUAGUAUGAUUCUAUCAUCAUGGAUUUGUUUUGCCUGUUCUUAAACAUCAUAUUAAUGAAAUCAAGCAAUAUAUAUUCUGCUGUGUCUUUUUUCAUUCAUCAUUAUAACUGUGAGAUUCAUCCAUGCCAUUGCAUGUAUCAAGAGUUUGUCUCUUUCUAUUGCUCAGUAGAUAAGAUUACAGUGAAUGAUUUAAUCACAAUUUGCUUGUCCAUCUUCCUGUUGAUGGGCAUUUGGGUUGUUUCCAGAUUUGGGCUAUAAUGAAUAAAGUUGCUUUGAACAUUCUUGCCUGACUUUUGGUGGACUUAUGCACUCAUUUUUUCUUGAGACUAUCCUAGGAGUGAAAUUAAUGGGUCAUGGGUUAAGCAACUGUUUGAUCUUAAUAGAUAUUAUUAGUUUUCCAAAGUAUUUUAAUCAAUUCACAAUGUAUGAUAAUUCCAGUUGCUUCCCAUGCUCUUCAAUAUGUGUUUUUCUUCUUUACUGUAGUUUUGAUUUCCAUUUCUUUAAUGACUAAUGGUUCGAGUUCCUUUGCAUAUGCUUAUUGACAUUUUAGAUAUCUCUUUUGAUAAGUGACUGUUAAAUUAUUUUGUUCAUUUAUUAAUUGGGCAUUUGGUCUUUUUCUUAUGAUUUGUAGGUGUUCUUUGUAUAUUAUUUUAUAUAUGUAUUUAUUUAUUUUUCUAGCUUUAUCGAGAUAUAAUUGACAAAUAACAUUGUAUAAGCUUAAGAUGUGCAAUACGAUGAUUUGAUAC